GACGAACGCUGGCGGCGUGCUUAACACAUGCAAGUCGAACGGUGAAGCGCCUUCCUUUUUGGUGGGUGUGGAUGAGUGGCGAACGGGUGAGUAACACGUGAGUAACCUGCCCCCUUCUUCUGGAUAACCGCAUGAAAGUGUUGCUAAUACGGGAUAUUCUGGGUCUGUCGCAUGAUGGGUCUGGGAAAGAUAUUGUUUCGGUGGGGGAUGGGCUCGCGGCCUAUCAGGUUGUUGGGGGGGUGAUGGCCUACCAAGGCGGUGACGGGUAGCCGGCCUGAGAGGGUGGACGGUCACACUGGGACUGAGACAAGGCCGAGACUGCGACGGGAGGCAGCAGUGGGGAAUAUUGAACAAUGGGCGAAAGUGUGAUGCAGCGACGCCGCGGGAGGGAUGGAGGCCUGCGGGUUGUGAACCUCUUUCGCUAGUGAAGCAGGCCUGCCUCGUUUGUGGGUGGGUUGACGGUAGCUGGAUAAGAAGCGCCGGCUAACUACGUG
rnacentral:rRNA from 1 species